UACGUAGGCAGCAAGCGUUGUUCGGAGUUACUGGGCGUAAAGGGUGUGUAGGCGGCUCUUUAAGUUUGGUGUGAAAUCUCCCGGCUCAACUGGGAGGGUGCGCCGAAUACUGAGGACUAGAGUACGGGAGAGGAAAGUGGAAUUCCUGGUGUAGCGGUGAAAUGCGUAGAUAUCAGGAGGAACACCGGUGGUGUAGACGGCUUUCUGGACCGUAACUGACGCUGAGACACGAAAGCGUGGGUAGCAAACAGG
rnacentral:rRNA from 1 species